CGUUUAUUUCCGGUCGCCACCAGGAAGCGUAAACGGAAGAGGCGGUACGGGGUGGGGCGAAAUCCGUUCGUUACUGCUCAGCUAUUGGACGAAGGCACCCGCUCAGUGGGCUGCGGAAUUGAUUGUCUACAUUAUUUGCGGACCUGGCCAAAAAAAAAAAAAAAAAAACCGAGCAGGAAGGGACUUCCUGAAGAAAGACGUCUAAGGGGAAAUUCAUCAGCAUCCGAUGACAUGAUUGUGAGCCACGUACUGUUGAUCUUUCAUUGGCUACAAAUCUGUUUUUAAGCCACGCAUGGUGGCACACGCCGUUAAUCCUAGCCCUCAGAAAGGCAGAGACGGUGGAUUAUGUGAGUGCCAGGCCAGCCUGAUCUACGUAGGGAAUUACAGGACACCCAGGGUUCAAAAACAAAACAAAACCAAAAACAACAAAGAACCCACAAACAAGAACCCUGUCAACCCAGCUAACAUCGCUUAAGGGAGUAAAACGAGUUUCAGGACAACCAGGCCCACAGAGAUCCUGUCACAGGUUCUGCAGAUCCAUCAGACUGUCAAGCUUAGCAGCAGGCUCUUGUACCCCACCAUCCAGUUUGUUGAGAUGGAGUCUCACUAUGUAGCCCUGGUUGACCGAGAACUCUUUUUGUAGACCAGGCUGGCCUUGGAAUCACAGAGAUCUCACCUGAGUGCUAGGACUAAAGAAACCACAAUUCCAGAAACUCCAAACCAGACUGGCCUUCUAGCUUGCUCUGAAGCACUGCUCUGGAAUUCCGGGAACUCCUGAAAGCCAUCAGUAGACCACUACAGAAGGAUGUCACUGUGCUACUAUGUGUAGGAGACAGACCUACUGACGACCUCAACAGCA
rnacentral:lncRNA from 1 species